rnacentral:lncRNA from 1 species
AGCUUCCGGAGCAAAGGAGCCCUGCCUGGAAGGACAGUGAACUCCAUGUGACUAAAGGCCGAGAUCUGCCUCCAGAGUGGAGGGCUGGGAAGCCCACUGGGGAACCCCUUCUUCCUGUCCUGGCGGUGGCCUGAGAACUGGGACUGCGCUGGCCCUGGAGGGGACGCUGGUGUAUCAUCGACAUGGAAUUGCGCAGAGCCCGCAGAGACCCCGGGCUUUCAGGGCGGUUUCUGAGGUGCACCUGAAUCCAGCCUCGGCUGAGGCAGUGGCCGGCCUGCUGCCUAUGGGGCGUGACCACCUGCGAGAGAAAACACUGCUGGUAAAGAGGACCAGUGGGACUCCGCGAUCAGCUGGACAUGUUGAUGCUCGAGACAGGUGGCGUCUGCUCCCCAACCGAAGUGAUCCUCAGAAACUGAGUUGAUGAAGAUCUUCAGAAUUCUCAGGGGGUUACCUGUGCAUUGAAAAAGGAGUUGUGCAUCUUUAGUCCUGAGGGAUGCAUUAAUACCUCACUAUUACUGACAGCCUGUGUGUGAGACCAAACACGCAGCCUUCCCCAGGUCUCACUGCCUGGACUCCUGCUGCUUGCCCAUCGAGUGUGGCGUAAGAUGCAGCAUCUGUCCUCGGUUUUAGCCAUGAUGACAUGAUGACUGCACACGUCUCUUCAUAGAGCCUCCCUCCUCCCUAACCAUGUGGGCUCUAGAAAGCACUAGAAAUAUAGGCCACCUAAGAGUGGCCUCUGC